rnacentral:rRNA from 1 species
AUUGAACGCUGGCGGCAGGCCUAACACAUGCAAGUCGAAUGGUAACAGGAAACAGCUUGCUGUUUCGCUGACGAGUGGCGGACGGGUGAGUCAUGUCUGGGAAACUGCCUGAUGGAGGGGGAUAACUACUGGAAACGGUAGCUAAUACCGCAUAACGUCGCAAGACCAAAGAGGGGGACCUUCGGGCCUCUUGCCAUCAGAUGUGCCCAGAUGGUAUUAGCUAGUAGGUGGGGUAACGGCUCACCUAGGCGACGAUCCCUAGCUGGUCUGAGAGGAUGACCAGCCACACUGGAACUGAGACACGGUCCAGACUCCUACGGGAGGCAGCAGUGGGGAAUAUUGCACAAUGGGCGCAAGCCUGAUGCAGCCAUGCCGCGUGUAUGAAGAAGGCCUUCGGGUUGUAAAGUACUUUCAGCGGGGAGGAAGGGAGUAAAGUUAAUACCUUUGCUCAUUGACGUUACCCGCAGAAGAAGCACCGGCUAACUCCGUG